rnacentral:rRNA from 1 species
AACGAACGCUGGCGGCAGGCUUAACACAUGCAAGUCUAACGAUGAAGCCGGAGCUUGCUCUGGUGGAUUAGUGGCGAACGGGUGAGUAACACGUGAGUAACCUGCCCUUGACUCUGGGAUAAGCGUUGGAAACGACGUCUAAUACCGGAUACGAGCUAGGACCGCAUGGUCACUAGCUGGAAAGAACUUCGGUCAAGGAUGGACUCGCGGCCUAUCAGUUAGUUGGUGAGGUAACGGCUCACCAAGACGACGACGGGUAGCCGGCCUGAGAGGGUGACCGGCCACACUGGGACUGAGACACGACCCAGACUCCUACGGGAGGCAGCAGUGGGGAAUAUUGCACAAUGGGCGCAAGCCUGAUGCAGCAACGCCGCGUGAGGGACGACGGCCUUCGGGUUGUAAACCUCUUUUAGCAGGGAAGAAGCACAAGUGACGGUACCUGCAGAAAAAGCACCGGCUAACUACGUGCCAGCAGCCGCGGUAACAC